rnacentral:rRNA from 1 species
UACGUAGGGGGCAAGCGUUGUCCGGAAUGACUGGGCGUAAAGGGAGUGUAGGCGGCUUAUCAAGUUAGAUGUGAAAUCCCGCGGCUUAACCGCGGAACUGCAUCUAAAACUGGUAAGCUGGAGUGCAGGAGAGGUGAGUGGAAUUCCUAGUGUAGCGGUGAAAUGCGUAGAUAUUAGGAGGAACACCAGUGGCGAAGGCGACUUUCUGGACUGUACCUGACGCUGAGGCGCGAAAGCAUGGGGAGCGAACAGG